AUCUGUAGGGGAGAAAGGCAGUCAAGAAAGAGCUGGAACCUCUGGGAGUGCCACAGCCCCACAGGAGGGAGCACGCCUGGGAGGGGACUCUGCAGCAUGCUAUUCAGUAAGCCUGGUAUGGAGGCUUCCCUGGAAUAAACAGUUAACUUGUAUUUCAUAACUUGUAUUUCUAUGGACACAACAGUGGAUUUGGAGUUGUCCCUUAUGAACAAUUUAAACCUUGGUUAAUAACUAGGUUACAGUUAUUUCUUUGUGGUGGGUGAUGAACGUGGCCCUGUCCCACAUGCACAAGAAAAAGGGACAGGGCACGUCCAUAUCGCACACCAGCAAGUGGAGGAGGUUCAUUCUCCUCCUCUUACUGUUCUGUUUCCCCACCUCCCCUGGGGAAUCAUGUCAUGCACACACGACCCACUCUGUGUCUCACCCAAAAGCUGACGUUGUUCUUUUCGACUGUUCCCCUGCGUUGCAUUCUCUGCUUUUUCACCCCAGUAUUAUUAUUUAUGUUCAUUCACAUUCUGAUGAGCAGCUGCUGACAAAACGUUGCCCACCCCACGGUUACCACGGAUUUCUCAUGUGAAAAUCUGAUGUUCAAAAGCAAUGGGCAGAAUAUCCUCUUUUUGCAUUUAGGGAUUAUUUGAUAUUUUCUGGAGUUUAUGUCAAUUGGGUUCUUCGGCAAUAUCAGGCCAGAACAAAAAGGCACAGGACUCAUUUUUAGCAACCAAGCUCGUUAUUUUCUAUUUAUACCCCUUGCAUUGGAGAUGUAUUAUCAAACACAGAAUGAAACCAGUAGUUUUGAGCUCCCCAGUACAUUAUAUUGACAUACUCAAGCAAUUUAGUCAAGGGCCACCAAGAUAAUUAAAGAGCUGGAGCAGAUGGAGGGUGGAGAACGGAGAGCAGAUGGAAUAUGAGGACAGCUUGAAGGAGCUGGCUAUGCUCAGCCUUAAAAGAGAAGGAAAAGGGAAAGAUCUUCUUCUUGUGCCAUGAGACAUUCACGCUGUGGUCGUAUUGUAACGGGGGAGAGAAGGAAGGGAUGCUGAGCCCCAGCACUCCUCCUCCUGUGGCACAGAAUGCAUUUCGUGGGCAGUGCUCACAAUGAAGUGCUCCUUCAUUUCAUUCCCUACACUCAGGAUUGGAAAUUCUUCCCGAUUCUCACAACAUUCCUAUUUGCUGUUGGGCAGUCGCCUUCUGCAACAUGUUUCCUUGGCCCCUCAGAAGUGAGAAGGAAUGAGGAGGAGUGUGAAAUUCAGUUUAUUUAAGUAAACAAGCGGCUGCUUUUGCAGUGUUUUCUCUAUAGCCUAAACAUCUUAACACUAGGAUGUUGUCACUAAAAGCAAUGGUAUUUUGAAGUUUAUUAAGGUAUUGGUCUUGUUAUCGUUGUAUUAUCGCUUUACUAAUCAUUUUUUCUCCCUUUUUCCCCCUCUUUUUUAAGCAAACCAAAACCCCUCUGCCCCAUCUUUUUCCUCACAAGCUGCACACACUGCUUGCUUCCGUAGGAGCGUGGAAAGCCAAAAAGUCAUCACCACGACAAGAAGUGGAACAGCCACACAAAGACAACACCCGAAUUUGGCACUUUCUCUGCCCUUCCUGUGUUAUCAUUCAUUAAGGCUGCGAGGCAAGAGGAGAAGACUGCCAGGCUGCAAUCUGAGUAUCUCAUAGGCUCAGGGAAAGCUGAUUUUCCCAUAACAAUACAUCUCCUUCUCACAAAAAUCCCCUUGGGUUGGAUGGAAGAAUCCCUUCCUGCAGCAGGAUGUCUUUCAGGUGGUGACUGCCUCCAUGGAUUCACAUCUUUGGGCCCAGGGCAGCACACAGCACAGUCACCAAAGCAAGGGGCACUCUCAACACUGACAAACACCAACACACAUCUUUGCUUCAUUAUUUCACAUUCCCUCUUUGAAAUGACCCAAGUGGUCUUUAAGAGCCAAUCUGAAGGCAGUACAAUUCAGCCACAUGCAGAUCUUAAAAGCUCCAGAGCACAUGCAGGAAAGGACAAAAGCCCAAACUCUUUUCUUAUUCUGACCUCAUGUUUUCGUGUGUUUUGUUCCCAUUGUGUCCUCAGAGAAUCAGCUCUUGUACCUUUAUUUCCCAAUAAACAAUUUCAGCACUCACAUCAGCAACCACCAAA